CACUCAAGAAAGGGUACAUUGGAUGUUUCCCUUUGGUUGUAUAGAAAAAUAGUGUUAAAAGUUCUCACUCGCAAACGAAUAUAGAACCUGGAAUGUUCCAUUUCCCAUUUUCUUGCAUUUGUUUAUUUCUUGAAUUUCCUUGUUCAAAUUUGGCAUGACUUUCAAGAUUUGAUGCUUACAUUGGAAGGUGGGAAGUCUCAAAUUGGAAAUAAAGAUGCACUUCGAAGAUGUUGACGCUAGAAUUUGUGAUACAUCCCUCACGCUUUGCCACCUUUUGGAAUAAAUUUUGAGAAGCUUUUUGUAGCUAGAAGGUUACUGCUCAAGCUGAGACUGAAAUCUAAUCAAUGAAAUGAGGUCUUUUUUCGCAAGGAUGAUUUUUGAUAGUAGUUACCUCUUUGACAAUUUCCAUAGUUGUCCAAUCGACUAAGUAUGUUGGAUCUUUGUAGAAGUAAUUAUGUGGAUAAUCACUUCGCUGCUGUGGAAUAUGUUGAGGAUAUUUACAACUUUUAUAAUCUUAUAGAGGUGAAUGACUUCCUAACAAUAACAAAGAAAACUUAUUGUCGGUGGCCGGAUACUAAUGCAGAAAGCAUUCUUGGAAAAGCUGGAGUGGAACUGUCAACUAAAAGUUGCGUAAAGUUACAAUUUUCGUCCAUAGCUUAGUGAUGGCAGGGGCGUUUCUCUUGCUUUUUGCUAAAAAAUGCAACUAUAAUUGUUUCCCGUGUAGUGAAUCUUUCGGAAUGGAUGUAUUAUCGGUUGUUGAAACAUUUACCUUUACUUAUUUUGCCCUGUUCAAACGAACGUACCAUUGCAUGAACUUUUACCUUUUGGUGGUAUUAAUGCAAUAUGACAGAAAAAAUCCACAGCAAA